UAGUCCACGCCCUAAACGAUGUUUACUCGAAGUAUGUGUUUGGCAUGUGCUUCCAAGGGAAACCGAUAAGUAAACCACCUGGGGAGUACGUCGGCAACGAUGAAACUCAAAGGAAUUGACGGGGGUCCGCACAAGCGGUGGAGUAUGUGGUUUAAUUCGAUGAUACGCGAGGGACCUUACCUAGGCUCGAACGCUAUUUGCCGAUUGAUGAAAGUCGAUUUUCCUUCGGGACGGAUAGUGAGGUGCUGCAUGGUUGUCGUCAGCUCGUGCCGUGAGGUGUUGGGUUAAGUCCCGCAACGAGCGCGACCCUUGUCCUUAGUUACCAGCGCGUUAUGGCGGGGACUCUAGGGAGACUGCCGGUGACAAACCGGAGGAAGGUGGGGACGACGUCAAGUCAUCAUGGCCCUUACGACCUGGGCUACACACGUGCUACAAUGGACAGUACAAAGGGUCGCGAAAGCGCGAGCCGGAGCUAAUCCCAUAAAACUGUUCGUAGUCCGGAUUGGAGUCUGCAACUCGACUCCAUGAAGUCGGAA
rnacentral:rRNA from 1 species